GACGAACGCUGGCGGCGUGCCUAAUACAUGCAAGUCGAACGCUUCUUUCCUCCCGAGUGCUUGCACUCAAUUGGAAAGAGGAGUGGCGGACGGGUGAGUAACACGUGGGUAACCUACCCAUCAGAGGGGGAUAACACUUGGAAACAGGUGCUAAUACCGCAUAACAGUUUAUGCCGCAUGGCAUAAGAGUGAAAGGCGCUUUCGGGUGUCGCUGAUGGAUGGACCCGCGGUGCAUUAGCUAGUUGGUGGGGUAACGGCUCACCAAGGCCACGAUGCAUAGCCGACCUGAGAGGGUGAUCGGCCACACUGGGACUGAGACACGGCCCAGACUUCUACGGGAGGCAGCAGUAGGGAAUCUUCGGCAAUGGACGAAAGUCUGACCGAGCAACGCCGCGUGAGUGAAGAAGGUUUUCGGAUCGUAAAACUCUGUUGUUAGAGAAGAACAAGGACGUUAGUAACUGAACGUCCCCUGACGGUAUCUAACCAGAAAGCCACGGCUAACUACGUG
rnacentral:rRNA from 1 species